UAUUGUGUAUUUUUCACCAAAAUAAUGAUUUAAAAUCCAGUAAUAUAGAUGGUAAGUGCAGAAGGAGCAUAUGUAGAUUCAGGAACGUUAAACAUUGUAACUUUUUUUAAAAAGAGGAUAUUUACCAGGCCUCUUUCUGUGAGGAGACCCUGUCCUGGAGUGAUGCCGUGCAUUUGUGUGCUGCCUGGGUGAACACUGCCUACUUCACAGUGAUGAGGGUGGCUUAGACAGAGACCCGAGGCUCUGUCCUCCAGGGCUCUCCUGAUGGUCUCCUUUACCUUCCUUCACCACCAAGGAGGGUGGCCCAGCAGCAGCUCAGCCUGUGCUCUCACCCACCUCCUCUGCACACACCAGUCCUCGUCCUCAGCACCCAAGGCUGCCAGAGGUCCUUCAGCAGCUCCCGUGGCUGACAGUGACUCUACGUUUCCUAGAUUUCAGGGACCACCUGGAGGGGAGCGGACCAGAGAGACUUCCUCGGAAUAGGCUGUGGCUCUUCACAAGGUGUCUUCUAUGCUUUAUUUGGGAGCCAUUGCCUUGAGCGUUAUUUCCCAGAUGGUUUUCUAAUGUCACCAACUGAAGAAAAGACCCAUGCACACAGGACACAGCAUGAUCUGAUGCUCACAGCGUUUUCCUUCCUCUCUGAAAACGGACUCAGCGAUUCUGGCAAGCGGUACUUACUCUGAGAUCACCCGUUUGCUAAGGAAAAAUCUUAGUACUGAGAAAGGUGACACUUUCCUCCCUGCUUUUGCUGGAGAGACACUUUGGUUAUGAGUUAUUUCUAGCAUAACACAGUUUAUUUCAGAAGUCCAGCUCAAUAGCAGACCAAGGCAUGAACAACACAUGAAAAUUUAUGUUGGGAAAAUAUAUAUUGUAUGUCUGCUUGAA
ensembl:lncRNA LINC01120 long intergenic non-protein coding RNA 1120